GCCGUGGUGGCGAAACUGGUAGACGCAGUGGACUCAAAAUCCACCGGUGGUGACACCGUGUCGGUUCGACUCCGACCCUCGGCACCA
rnacentral:tRNA from 1 species